CCUCCACUCGAGGAUUUUAAGGAAGGAAAAAAAAAAAAAAAAGGGAAAAAGUCAAAUUCCCUUUUUUAUUUGGUUCCUGGGCUUUGGGCAGACUCCGUUGUCAGAGUUUCCGCUGAAAGCAAGAGGUCUGUAAUCCCGGUGUCUUUUCCAAAUGGCACCAGAAAUCCUUAAGCGAGAACCUCCCUGCGCUUUGGCAGGUGGCACCAAACGGGCGCGGGAGCCUGCGGCCGGGUCCUUUCCAGCCCUAACGCCCGCUCCCUGGCCGGGUGCUGCUGAACCCAGGGAGAGCAUCGCCCUCCCGCCCCGGGCACCCCCCUCACCCGCACCGCUGCCCAGAGCCCCCCGCUCCAUCCAGGGCUCGCACAGCCCGGGGGCCGCGUCGCUGCUGCAGGCUCUGCCCGCGCUGCCGCAAAAAAGGCUGUUCCCAAGGGCGACGCCGGAGAAAACACUUUGCUGGGGCUGGCAGCAGCUGGACGAGGCACCGCGACGCCUUUCCACCCCGCUCUGGGUCACCGUGAUGGGGGUCAGCGGCUCUGCCUGGCCCCCGGGGACGCGGGGGCUCACCCACGCGAGCAAACCAAGGAAAGUGGAUUAAAAGUGGAACGAGAUUAUCGAGCAUAACAAAACACGCCAAAACAACUGAUGAGGAGGAAAGAAAAGCCUGUGGUCAUUUGGAGAGCGACAGGGACUGGCUGGCGGCAUUUCCCCGCUCCCGGGCAGCGCAGGAGGGCCGAGCCGAGAGGAAAAUGAUUUCCCAGCGCGGAUGUGGGGCCGGCGCCGGCUUCAUCCGGCACCUGGGGCAGCCCCGCUCCUGCACCCCAUCCCCGCUCCCGCACCCCAUCCCCACUCCCGCACCCCAUCCCCGCUCCCGCACCCCAUCCCUGCUCCCGCACCCCAUCCCCGCUCCCGCACCCCAUCCCCACCUGUCCCUGCCCACUCUCCCCUGCAAGCACCCACCCAGGAAAAAUAAU